GAGACACGGCCCAGACUCUACGGGAGGCAGCAGUGGGGAAUUUUCCGCAAUGGGCGCAAGCCUGACGGAGCAACGCCGCGUGUGGGAUGAAGGCCUGUGGGUUGUAAACCACUUUUCUCAGGGACGAACACAAUGACGGUACCUGAGGAAUCAGCCUCGGCUAACUCUGUGCCAGCAGCCGCGGUAAGACAGAGGAGGCAAGCGUUAUCCGGAAUUAUUGGGCGUAAAGCGUCCGUAGGUGGUCUAGCAAGUCUGGGGUUAAAGCCCGGAGCCCAACUCCGGAUCGGCCUUGGAAACUGCCAGACUCGAGUAAGGUAGGGGUUGCGGGAAUUCCCGGUGUAGCGGUAAAAUGCGUAGAUAUCGGGAAGAACACCAGCGGCGAAAGCGCGCAACUGGGCCAUUACUGACACUGAGGGACGAAAGCUAGGGGAGCGAAUGGGAUUAGAUACCCCAGUAGUCCUAGCCGUAAACGAUGGUGACUAGAUGUGGCUCGUAUUGACCCGAGCCGUGUCGUAGCUAACGCGAUAAGUCACCCGCCUGGGGAGUACGCACGUAAGUGUGAAACUCAAAGGAAUUGACGGGGGCCCGCACAAGCGGUGGAGCAUGUGGAUUAAUUCGAUGCAACGCGAAGAACCUUACCAGGGCUUGACAUCCUGCGAACCCCGCUGAAAGGUGGGGGUGCCUUCGGGAGCGCAGAGACAGGUGGUGCAUGGCUGUCGUCAGCUCGUGUCGUGAGAUGUUGGGUUAAGUCCCGCAACGAGCGCAACCCGCGUCCUUAGUUGCCAGCAUUUAGUUGGGCACUCUGGGGAGACUGCCGGUGACAAGCCGGAGGAAGGUGCGGAUGACGUCAAGUCAGCAUGCCCCUUACCGCCCUGGGCGUCACACGUGCUACAAUGGCCAGCACAAAGGGUAGC
rnacentral:rRNA from 1 species